rnacentral:rRNA from 1 species
UAAGGAAUAUUGGUCAAUGGAGGCAACUCUGAACCAGCCAUGCCGCGUGCAGGAUGAAGGCCCUAUGGGUCGUAAACUGCUUUUAUACCAGAGAAAACCCUUCCACGUGUGGAAGGCUGAUAGUAUGGUAAGAAUAAGCAUCGGCUAACUUCGUGCCAGCAGCCGCGGUAAGACGAAGGAUGCAAGCGUUAUCCGGAUUCAUUGGGUUUAAAGGGUGCGUAGGCGGACUUGUAAGUCAGUGGUGAAAUCUCUUUGCUUAACAAAGAAACUGCCAUUGAUACUGCAGGUCUAGAGUAUAGAUGACGUUGGCGGAAUAUGACAUGUAGUGGUGAAAUACUUAGAUAUGUCAUAGAACACCGAUUGCGAAGGCAGCUAACGAAACUAUAACUGACGCUGAGGCACGAAAGUGCGGGGAUCAAACAGG